GUAACAAGGUUUCCGUAGGUGAACCUGCGGAAGGAUCAUUAUUGAAUUUUGAAUGGGGUUGUAGCUGGCCUUUCAAAGGGCGUGUGCACGCCUCGCUUCAAUCCACUUACCCCUGUGAACACUCUGUAGGUCGGCUCAAGGGACAAAUUCUUAACGGGGUUUGUUUUGGGCCUUCCUAUGUUUUAUUACAAACGUUUAAAGUCUAAAGAAUGUACUCGCGUCUAACGCAUUAUAUACAACUUUCAGCAACGGAUCUCUUGGCUCUCGCAUCGAUGAAGAACGCAGCGAAAUGCGAUAAGUAAUGUGAAUUGCAGAAUUCAGUGAAUCAUCGAAUCUUUGAACGCACCUUGCGCUCYUUGGUAUUCCGAGGAGCAUGCCUGUUUGAGUGUCAUGGAAUUAUCAACUUGUUUAUCUUUGUAUGAACGCAGUUGGAUUUGGAGGCCAUUGCCGGAUUGUAAUGACUCGGCUCCUCUUGAAUGCAUUAGCUCGAACCUUUGCGGAUCAGCUUUUGGUGUGAUAAUUGUCUACGCCGCUAACUGAGACACAUGAAUGGGAUCGGCUUACAGUCGUCCUUGAACGGACAAUUUAUUAUGACUUCUGACCUCAAAUCAGGUAGGAUUACCCGCUGAACUUAAGCAUAUCAAU
rnacentral:rRNA from 1 species